rnacentral:rRNA from 1 species
GUAGUUAGCCGGGGCUUUCUUACAGGGUACCGUCACUUCUUCGUCCCCUGCGACAGAGGUUUACAAUCCGAAAACCUUCUUCCCUCACGCGGCGUUGCUGGGUCAGGCUUGCGCCCAUUGCCCAAUAUUCCCCACUGCUGCCUCUCGUAGGAGUCUGGACCGUGUCUCAGUUCCAGUGUGGCCGAUCAGCCUCUCAGCUCGGCUACCCAUCGUCGGCUUGGUGGGCUGUUAUCUCACCAACUACCUAAUGGGACGCGAACCCCUCUAAAAGCGAUAAAUCUUUGACCUCUUCCCGAUGCCGGGUUGUGGUCUUAUGCGGUAUUAGCAGUUGUUUCCACCUGUUAUUCCCCACUCUUAGGCAGGUUGUUCACGCGUUACUCACCCGUGCGCCACUAGAAUUAUCAAUUCCAUCCGAAAACUUCCUUAAUAAUCCCCGUUCGACUUGCAUGUGUUAGGCACGCCGCCAGCGUUCGUCCUGAGCCAGGAUCAAACUCUGA